rnacentral:lncRNA from 1 species
UAUAAUAUUCUAUAUAUUCUAUAAUAUUAUAUAUUCUAUAUAACAUAAAAUUAAAUAUAAACGAUACUUUUUAAUCUUGCCUUUACAGAUCUCGAUUAUGAAAUGGCUUCUUGAUUGAAUUCUCGUUUGCCUGCCUCCCGUUCUUCGGUUUGAUCGGCUGUUAUCAGUAAAACAUUAAACGGACAAAGAACAGAACGUGACUACGGACUAUAGAUCAGAUCGUUCUCGAUGAUCAGGGUACAUGGAGAUUCCUCGGAUAUAUCUGCGUCGCUGAAAAAGGGCGUCAUGCAUGGCUCGCACUAGGGUGUCAUCUGCACCCUCUACAACAUGACCAGUUCUGUAGACGAUCUUCACGGUCAAUAUAACGGAUGUCGUAAAAUCAAUUAGUGGCGAAUUGUGCCGCAGCCCGGAUCGCGUGCACUGUAUAUGCAGCUCAUAAAAUUCCUUUUUUCUUUGUGAUCUUUUUGUGUUCCUCGUAUCGGUUCCACUCUAUAAUCAUUUCUUAUCAAAGUACAGUUUUAAAACUACAAUAUUACAAUAUUAUACAUUGGUACAUUGUUAAAUUUCUCAUUUGCAAUAGCAAUAUGAUAUUGGUAUAUUAUAGAUAUUUCGCUUUUAUACCAUUCCGACAAUAGCUUAGUUAAUGUUGACUUUUGAAUGGUCCAAUCUUUCAAGAGGCAAGAAAGAGCCUUUCCUUUUAGCGCGUUUCAGCAUACAGUAAAUAUUAUCAGGAAGCCGUCCCCGCAUAGUAGAGACUCCAACGACAUCCUGACAAAUCUUUGGGGUCGACGUCGUAACCGAUUGAAAGAAUUUUCCGUGACGACUCGUUCAUUGUGCGUGUUUACUAGCUAAGCGAUUUUCUCGUUGUAGAAAGGUCGAAAUAUCUCUCAGAAAUACAAUAGAAAACUUGUAACAAAAAUCAUAGAAGCAAACAUUUUAAAGGGAAAUUUAUGUUAUUCACAGUUAGCAACGAUUCAGAUCUCAGUAAAUUGUACAAGUUUUUAUCAUCCGAGAGAGACGUAUAUCUAUGAAAAAGAGAAAUAGUCCACAUAAAACUUUAACGUCCUUUGUGCGAACGUCACCCGUUACAACGCAACGUUGCUUUGGCUAAGAGCCGGUUAUCUUGAUUGACCACUUCACCGGUCUGUGACGAUUAACCCAAAACAUGGGAGUUUAAUAGGAAGAAACCGAAGGGAAGACGCACGCAUGAAAUUCAUCCUUCUUCAACAAAGUUCGAGGAGUGAAAGAAAAGGUGGCUCUCCUUGUGGCUACAACUCACAACCUACAAUUCGGUGGCUACGAAACGGCUACACCCUUUCAUGAACGCGCGGUUCAACCACUCGUGACCCGACCAACUUCGCCCCAAGUGGGAAAAAUGUUUCAAUCUAUGAAGAUGAAUCAAUUCCCAGGUUUUUGGAGAUUUAUGUACAGGAAGUUGAAGAAUUUUCUGAAUAAAAUAUGGAAAGGAAAACGCAUGAAACUAACAAAC